rnacentral:rRNA from 1 species
AUGGCGUCGGCGGCCGGUGCUGGUGGGGCAAAUGCCGGCCUCGCCGACCCGCUGCUGGCGAGCGCCAAGAAGCCGGUCGGCGCCAAGGGCAAGCACUGGGUGGCCGCCGACAAGGACCAGCGGCGGGCCGCCAAGGAGAGCGGCGGCGAGGACGGCAGGCCGCUGCUGUUCCGGACGUACAAGGUCAAAGGCACCCUCCUGCACCCCUACAGGGCGCUGAUCUUCAUUCGCUUAAUUGCCGUCCUCCUAUUCUUCGUAUGGCGCAUCAAACAUAACAAAUCUGAUAUCAUGUGGUUUUGGACAUUGUCAGUUGUCGGGGACGUAUGGUUCGGGUUCUCGUGGCUGCUCAACCAACUCCCAAAGUUUAAUCCCGUCAAAACCAUACCUGAUAUGGUCGCCCUUAAGCGACAAUAUGAUCUCCCAGAUGGGACAUCUACACUUCCUGGCAUAGAUGUCUUUGUCACCACUGCUGACCCAAUCGAUGAGCCGAUACUAUACACCAUGAAUUGUGUUCUCUCUAUCCUUGCUUCUGACUAUCCUGUUGAUAGGUGUGCCUGCUAUCUCUCAGAUGAUAGUGGCGCAUUGAUCCAAUACGAGGCCUUGGUUGAGACCGCAAAGUUUGCUACUUUGUGGGUCCCAUUUUGUCGGAAGCAUUGCAUCGAGCCAAGAGCCCCAGAAAGCUACUUUGAACUAGAGGCACCGUUGUACACUGGAAGUGCACCAGAGGAUUUCAAGAAUGAUCAUAGCAGUGUACACAGAGAGUAUGAUGAGUUCAAAGAGCACUUAGACUCAAUAUCUAGUGCUAUUUCCAAGCGUUCCGAUGCUUACAACAGCAUGAAGACUGAGGAAGGAGAUGCAAAGGCCACUUGGAUGGCAAAUGGGACACAAUGGCCAGGAUCAUGGAUUGACACAACGGAAAUCCAUAGGAAAGGACAUCAUGCCGGAAUUGUUAAGGUUGUGUUGGGCCAUUCGAUCCGUGGGCAUAAUCUUGGUUCACAGGCAAGCACCAACAACCUCAACUUCGCCAGCACUGAUGUGCGCCUCCCGAUGCUUGUAUAUAUCUCUCGUGGAAAGAACCCAAGCUAUGACCACAACAAGAAAGCCGGUGCCUUGAAUGCGCAAUUGCGUGCCUCUGCACUACUCUCCAACGCGCAAUUCAUCAUCAACUUUGACUGCGACCACUACAUCAACAACUCUCAAGCCCUACGUGCAGCUAUGUGCUUCAUGCUAGAUCAACGGCAAGGUGAUAGCACUGCCUUCGUUCAAUUCCCUCAACGCUUCGACAACGUUGAUCCAUCAGACCGGUAUGGCAACCACAACCGUGUCUUCUUCGAUGGCACAAUGCUCGCCCUCAAUGGCCUCCAAGGUCCAUCUUACCUUGGCACUGGUUGCAUGUUCCGCCGCAUAGCCCUUUAUGGCAUUGACCCACCUGAGUGGAGACAUGACAACAUCGUAGUUGAUGAUAAAAGGUUUGGUAGCUCCAUACCCUUCCUAGAAUCCGUAUCAAAAGCCAUAAACCAAGAAAGAUCUACCAUACCUCCACCCAUUAGUGAAACAUUGGUGGCUGAGAUGGAAAGGGUUGUGUCAGCUUCACACGAUAAAGCCACUGGGUGGGGCAAGGGUGUUGGGUACAUAUAUGACAUAGCCACAGAGGAUAUAGUGACUGGUUUCCGCAUCCACGGUCAAGGUUGGCGUUCCAUGUAUUGUACAAUGGAGCGUGAUGCCUUCUGUGGCAUUGCACCAAUCAACCUAACCGAGCGCCUCCACCAAAUUGUGCGUUGGUCAGGUGGAUCUUUAGAGAUGUUCUUCUCACUAAAUAACCCACUCAUAGGUGGUCGUCGUAUCCAAGCCCUUCAGCGUGUCUCCUACCUCAACAUGACAGUCUACCCAGUCACAUCACUCUUUAUCCUACUCUAUGCUCUCAGCCCGGUGAUGUGGCUUAUCCCUGAUGAAGUAUACAUUCAGAGGCCAUUCACCAAAUAUGUUGUGUUCCUUCUCGUGAUCAUUCUGAUGAUCCAUGUUAUUGGGUGGCUCGAGAUAAAAUGGGCGGGGGUCACAUGGUUGGAUUACUGGAGGAACGAACAGUUCUUCAUGAUCGGGUCUACGAGUGCAUACCCAGCAGCCGUGCUUCACAUGGUGGUGAAUCUCCUUACAAAGAAGGGUAUUCACUUCAGAGUUACUUCGAAGCAAACAGCGGCAGACACCAAUGACAAGUUCGCCGACUUGUAUGACAUGCGAUGGGUGCCAAUGUUAAUACCUACAACAGUAGUGCUGAUUGCCAAUGUUGGUGCAAUUGGUGUAGCCAUGGGUAAAACGAUAGUGUACAUGGGAGCAUGGACAAUUGCACAGAAGACACAUGCUGCAUUGGGUCUGCUCUUCAAUGUGUGGAUCAUGGUGCUGCUCUAUCCGUUUGCAUUGGCGAUCAUGGGACGGUGGGCAAAGAGGCCAGUCAUCCUGCUGGUCUUGUUGCCGGUUGCCUUCACAAUAGUUUGCCUUGUAUAUGUUGCUGUUCAUAUCUUACUUCUUAGUUAUCUUACAUUUUAG